GACGGACGCUGGCGGCGUGCCUAACACAUGCAAGUCGAGCGAAUGAAGUUCCUUCGGAAAUGGAUUUAGCGGCGGACGGGUGAGUAACACGUGGGCAACCUGCCUCAUAGAGGGGAAUAGCCUUCCGAAAGGGAGAUUAAUACCGCAUAAGAUUGUAGUACCGCAUGGUACAGCAAUUAAAGGAGCAAUCCGCUAUGAGAUGGGCCCGCGGCGCAUUAGCUAGUUGGUGAGGUAACGGCUCACCAAGGCGACGAUGCGUAGCCGACCUGAGAGGGUGAUCGGCCACAUUGGGACUGAGACACGGCCCAGACUCCUACGGGAGGCAGCAGUGGGGAAUAUUGCACAAUGGGGGAAACCCUGAUGCAGCAACGCCGCGUGAGUGAUGACGGCCUUCGGGUUGUAAAGCUCUGUCUUCAGGGACGAUAAUGACGGUACCUGAGGAGGAAGCCACGGCUAGCUACGUGCCAGCCGCCGCCGUAA
rnacentral:rRNA from 1 species